rnacentral:rRNA from 1 species
CGUAGGUGGCAGCGUUGUCCGGAUUUAUUGGGUUUAAAGGGUGCGUAGGUGGUCUUGUAAGUCAGUGGUGAAAUACGGCAGCUCAACUGUCGAGGUGCCAUUGAUACUGCAAGACUUGAGUACAGACGAGGUAGGCGGAAUUGACGGUGUAGCGGUGAAAUGCUUAGAUAUCGUCAAGAACACCGAUAGCGAAGGCAGCUUACUAGACUGUAACUGACACUGAGGCACGAAAGUGUGGGGAUCAAACAGGAUUAGAUACCCUGGUAGUCCACACUGUAAACGAUGAUUACUCGAUGUUGGCGAUACACAGCCAGCGUCUUAGCGAAAGCGAUAAGUAAUCCACCUGGGGAGUACGCCCGCAAGGGUG